AACGAUUGAGAUUUAUCAAAGUAUGCACUAGAAUUCACGUGCAAGAAUAGAUCACGUAUAAGGAUACGGCAAGAUGGAUUCCUCUCGGGUAAACAAAUAGGAGUAAUUGAUUUUCAGGAAGAAGUGGACACGGACACGGAUCCAAAAGAUUUUAGGCAACCACAAGCGGACGCAUACUGACGAAAAACAUGUUUGAACGCCCCAUGACCGAAAUAAUAACAGUGCAAUCCACGGCAAGAUGGAUUCCUCUCGGGUAAACAAAUAGGAGUAAUUGAUUUUCAGGAAGAAGUGGACACGGACACGGAUCCAAAAGAUUUUAGGCAACCACAAGCGGACGCAUACUGACGAAAAACAUGUUUGAACGCCCCAUGACCGAAAUAAUAACAGUGCAAUCCAUGGCACCACCACACGUCCAGCAGAUUACAGGCAGCGCACCUGACACAUCCAUACGCGCCGACGGCGACGGCCCUCGGUUGCCGAGAAAACCGAAGAGACAACAACCAGCUCAACGGAUGAAAGGCAAGUCAACAACAGUGUCCCAUCCAGCCAUCACCUCUGGGUAAUACUUGCACGUACUUCUCCCUGUUAGUUUAGAUGUUUCAGUCCCAAGCAACAUAAGCAACAAGUGGUAAGAUGGCUUGCAUCGAACCAUCGUGAUGGUACCAGAUAAAAAAUACCAUUGCAUAUGGCUAAUAAAAAACAUCAUUUUUGCAAUACAAUGGGUGGAGAAAGAGGUCACUUGGUUCGGUCCAAAUUAAGUUGUACAUGACUAUAUACUAAUUAGUUCCUGGUACAAAAAAAUCUCAGAGAAAUAAGAUUGGCAGGAACAUAGACAGUAAUGAACAAGGCGGAAUAGAAGAGCGAAGGUGGGAGAUCGCAUAAAAAUUCACAGAAAGAAUAAUACCCUAUUAAAAUACAUUGUUUAAAAGGUCCUUAGCAAUAUCUUAAUACAGUUAGUGUAAAGAUUUCUAUCAACGUGAAAUCAUGUUUCCAUGUUUUGAUUUUUGAAUAAUAGUUGGAGAGAAAAUAUUAAUAUAUUAUUAUGUAUUGCUCACAACAAUAAUCAUGUUAUAUACGUACUAGGUAAUUGCCAUAGUCAUUCACGACUUCUCAUCCCACAAGAAACAAAACAAAUCACGUACGUACAUGCAUACAUGUAGGAAGGAAACUAAAACAACCAUAAUUUGGCAUAAAAGAAUUCUUUCGAACUUGGAAUUCCAAAAUUUGCUAAAAUUUGGAAUGAUUUUUUUGGGAGAAAACAGUAGUUAGACUUAUGUAUGAAAUGCAACAAAACAGUAGCAUGUACAAUUAAAAUAAAUUUUGCAUUUUUUUACAUGGACAUAAAAAUGCAAAUCGUCGCAAUCGAAAAGGAAAACUCAAUAGCUACCAUUUUAAGUUUCUUAGUAAGAGAUGCUUGCCCUACCAACGAAUGAGCAGCUGAUAUGAUCUCACCACAAAUUCGAAAAAAACAGAAUGUUUUCUCACAAGCCAUGAAAUUUAAAAGUCGCUAAACUUUGGAACAUUGUUUCUAUGAGAAAAUGGUAGCUAGACUUAUAUACGAAAUUCAACCAGACACUAGAAUGUAUAAUUAAACAAAAUAUAAGUUUUCUUUACAAUUGAGAUCAUGCAAUUUUAUUAAGGAAUGACUAAUGUCAACGUGACAUGCGUGUAUUCAAGUGCAAUGACUCAGCAUUUGGAAAAGAGGCUACAUGAGUACAUAGCACGAGUAAGUCAGCUAUGACGGUAGGAAGUGAUAGACAUGAGAUUCAUCCAGAAAAAAGACUAUAUGGCCACAUAGAUAUUGAGCAUCACAGUAAAAAAAAUUACCUUUCAUACCAUUUUAAUUUUACAAAACGACCACUUUCAUCAAUGUAGUAGGUAAAAUCGGCAUUACGAGGCAAUGCUUGCCUUAAUAGCAAAUGAGAAAAAAAGUUUGCUUCGUAAAAUUGGAGGAAGCAAGAUAAAAAAGAAAAUUUGGGUGUUAUUUUUAUGAUAAACAACAGGGAAGGCCCUUACAAAAAAAGUGCUUCAAUGCGUCUCCUCUUUUCCUCUCUGCAUCCAUUCUCUCUCUCACACUAAGUUAGUCUUUAUUGUCAUUUCCAGCUUCAAAUACAUAUUCUAAUCGAUUCACGUUGGUUUGAUUUCCCAAACGUACAUUAAGCCAGGGCACUCUAAUAAUGUUUUUAUACUAUAAUUAGUUUGAAAGAACAAACUAUAUCAACUUUAUAACCAUUAAUUUUACAUGUGUACACUAACAAUGUCCGGAUUAUAAAGAACAAGUUGUAAAGAUUUUUGCAUGAUGUAUUUCCAAACGGAGGUAGUACGAUUUUAAAUCUACACCGAAUGGCCUAUGAAUAUCUUGAACCUAAUAUAAUAAAUGUGUCAAGAAAUAACUCUAGCCGCGCAAAUGCGUGGGACACCCUGCUAGUUUUCUACAAAAUGAAAAUGUAACAAAACUUUAGUUUUAGGCACAACAACACACACCGUGAUUCUCCUUCUUGCAGUAGCCUUUCUGGCCGUCAUAACCAAGUGUUUUGCACUCCCUGUUGCAGUAAUCAACAGCAUACUGAUAUGAGUCCAUGCACACCGAGUAAGUAAAACAUUGGAGUCCAAAUGCAGCGUUGGUACCUAAACACAGUGAAGGAAGCACCACAACAUACAAAUGAAUACGUAUGGAAUACAUGAUACAUAAUCAUUUGGGACUUUUUAAUGUCAAGAAACUCAACAAGGAAACUCAUUUGGAAAUUACCUACGUCCCUCCCCGCUGACGCAGG
rnacentral:lncRNA from 1 species